UGAUUGCCUUAUGUUUUUGUUUCAUUAUAUUUUCAGUGAGAACAACCCGCAACAACAAACCACAAACAAUUUCUUUAUAUGAUACCGAUGCAUGUAUGCAGGACACGUUUGCCAAAACAGUGCCAAAAACAAAUGGAAUAUCACAGAAAGACUGUAAGGUUCCUGAGUCACGUUUUUGAUAAGAACGUGGUUGGUUUGAUUUUAAAUUUCAUCGACAAUAUUGGAAACAAAACGUUCAUCGCGGUUAGCCUUUGAAGCUCUGAAAUACCUGGCUGCACUUCUGUGCCACAAAAAGUUCUCAAUCAAGUUUCUCAGCAUGAAUGGUCUCCAGCAUCUUCUGGAAGUCCCUCAACCAGGCAUUGCAGCAACUGGUGUCUCAAUAUGCUUUUACUACUUAGCAUACUGUGAGGACGCCAUUGAAAGAGUGUGCUUAUUGCCCAAGGAAAUUUUUCAUGAAGUUGUUAGGUAUGGUCUAUGGUUACUAGGAUGUUCACAUGAUUCAGGCAGAUGUCACGCUACGAUGUUCUUCGGUUCUACUUCAAUUUCAGUCCAUCCUUGAGGAGUUUGAUACUCAAGUUGGACUUAGAAUCUUAUAUAAUGUUAUGAGUAUGUUACAACUCUUAUCAAACGAAGGUGAUACAGUCAACGUGUAUGUUAUGUGUGCGUCGCUCUGAAACGUUACUUACAGGCCCCUCCCUUUUUUUUUAAGGUGCACAAACUCCAACUAGGUGAAAUAGGACUGCCAAGUGAUAAGAUUUGCAAAAGUUCACCGGAAGAAGUUUUAGAGCAGAUUGAAACCAUGAUGGAACUAUUUUCAUUUCGUGACACUUGGGAUCCUGUGAAUAAGCUUUUCAACUUCGGAGGCGUAUAACUCUUUUAUUGCGAGUCUCUAUUUUUGCUUAUGAGUGGAACUAUUCCAGCAGUGAGAACAACCCGCAACAACAAACCACAAACAAUUUCCUUAUAUAUUACCGAUGCAUGUAUGCAGGACACGUUUGCCAAAACAGUGCCAAAAACAAAUGGAAUAUCACAGAAAGACUGUAAAGCAUCUUCUGGAAGUCCCUCAACCAGGCAUUGCAGCAACUGGUGUCUCAAUAUACUUUUACUACUUAGCAUACUGUGAGGACGCCAUUGAAAGAGUGUGCUUAUUGCCCAAGGAAAUUUUUCAUGAAGUUGUUAGGUAAUGCCUUAUUUAUGCCCAGCUUGUUAGUUGAUUGAUCAGUUUCUCCACACCUUCCUCCUUGCAGUCACAAA